AUUUUUCAUCCUUGGAACAGGUUUGUAACUGUGCUCUUCUUCUUCUUCUUCUCUUUUCCAUCCUUGUGAUUCUCUCCACUUUCUUCUCCAUGGAUCUUAUCUUUUAUCUUCUCAACAAAUCCUUCCUUAUGCUCAUCCUUCUUGUGUCCUUCUCCCUUGUGUUCCUCUUUUUUGUGUUCUUCUUCCUUAUGGCCACCUCCGAUGUGGAGUUUCUCUUCAAUUUUGUGGAUGAUUCCUGCCAUUGUUAGAUCAGAGAUGAGAAAUUGAGUUUUUUUUUUGGGGGGGGGGGUUGCAGAAUUGACAAUUGUGU
rnacentral:misc_RNA from 1 species